rnacentral:rRNA from 1 species
UUAGUGGCGGACGGGUGAGUAACGCGUGGAAAACCUGCCGUAUACUGGGGGAUAACACUUAGAAAUAGGUGCUAAUACCGCAUAAGCGCACAGCUUCGCAUGAAGUGGUGUGAAAAACUCCGGUGGUAUACGAUGGAUCCGCGUCUGAUUAGCCAGUUGGCGGGGUAACGGCCCACCAAAGCGACGAUCAGUAGCCGGCCUGAGAGGGUGAACGGCCACAUUGGGACUGAGACACGGCCCAAACUCCUACGGAAGGCAGCAG